rnacentral:rRNA from 1 species
AACGAACGCUGGCGGCAGGCCUAACACAUGCAAGUCGAACGAGAAGCUUUCCUUCGGGAAAGUGGAAAGUGGCAGACGGGUGAGUAACGCGUGGGAACGUGCCUCUCGGUUCGGAAUAACUCAGGGAAACUUGGGCUAAUACCGAAUACGCCCUUCGGGGGAAAGAUUUAUCGCCUUUGGAUGGGCCCGCGUUGGAUUAGCUUGUUGGUGGGGUAAAAGCCUACCAAGGCGACGAUCCAUAGCUGGUCUGAGAGGAUGAUCAGCCACACUGGGACUGAGACACGGCCCAGACUCCUACGGGAGGCAGCAGUGGGGAAUAUUGGACAAUGGGCGCAAGCCUGAUCCAGCAAUGCCGCGUGAGUGAUGAAGGCCUUAGGGUUGUAAAGCUCUUUUACUAGGGAUGAUAAUGACAGUACCUAGAGAAUAAGCUCCGGCUAACUCCGUG